UACGUAGGGGGCGAGCGUUGUCCGGAAUUAUUGGGCGUAAAGCGCGCGUAGGCGGUUACUCAAGUCGGAUGUGAAAGCCCUCGGCUUAACUGAGGAAGUGCACCCGAAACUGAGUAGCUAGAGUACGAAAGAGGGUCGCGGAAUUCCCGGUGUAGAGGUGAAAUUCGUAGAUAUCGGGAGGAACACCGGUGGCGAAGGACGGGUCUCUGGGCCGUAACUGACGCUGAGGAGCGAAAGCAUGGGGAGCGAACAGG
rnacentral:rRNA from 1 species